UGAACGCUGGCGGCAUGCCUUACACAUGCAAGUCGAACGGCAGCACGGGAGCAAUCCUGGUGGCGAGUGGCGAACGGGUGAGUAAUGUAUCGGAACGUACCUUACAGUGGGGGAUAACGUAGCGAAAGUUACGCUAAUACCGCAUAUUCUCUGAGGAGGAAAGCAGGGGACCUUAGGGCCUUGCGCUGUUAGAGCGGCCGAUAUCAGAUUAGCUAGUUGGUGGGGUAAAAGCUCACCAAGGCGACGAUCUGUAGCGGGUCUGAGAGGAUGAUCCGCCACACUGGAACUGAGACACGGUCCAGACUCCUACGGGAGGCAGCAGUGGGGAAUUUUGGACAAUGGGCGCAAGCCUGAUCCAGCCAUGCCGCGUGAGUGAAGAAGGCCUUCGGGUUGUAAAGCUCUUUCGGCCGGGAAGAAAUCGCAUUGGUUAAUACCUGGUGUGGAUGACGGUACCGGAAUAAGAAGCACCGGCUAACUACGUGCCAGCAGCCGCGGUAAUACGUAGGGUGCGAGCGUUAAUCGGAAUUACUGGGCGUAAAGCGUGCGCAGGCGGUUUUGUAAGACAGGCGUGAAAUCCCCGGGCUCAACCUGGGAACUGCGCUUGUGACUGCAAGGCUAGAGUACGGCAGAGGGGGGUGGAAUUCCACGUGUAGCAGUGAAAUGCGUAGAGAUGUGGAGGAACACCAAUGGCGAAGGCAGCCCCCUGGGUCGAUACUGACGCUCAUGCACGAAAGCGUGGGUAGCAAACA
rnacentral:rRNA from 1 species